rnacentral:sRNA from 1 species
UAUGAUAUCGUCUCUGACUGACUUUAGU